UACGGGGGGGGCAAGCGUUGUUCGGAAUUACUGGGCGUAAAGGGCUCGUAGGCGGCCAACUAAGUCAGACGUGAAAUCCCUCGGCUUAACCGGGGAACUGCGUCUGAUACUGGAUGGCUUGAGGUUGGGAGAGGGAUGCGGAAUUCCAGGUGUAGCGGUGAAAUGCGUAGAUAUCAGGAAGAACACCCGUGGCGAAGGCGGCUCUCUGGGACGUGACUGACGCUGAGACGCGAAAGCGUGGGGAGCGAACAGG
rnacentral:rRNA from 1 species